GUAACGUUUAUUUCGCGAUAAUGCUUUCUUCUUUCAUUCUAUUGGCAGUCUGUCAAUUCGUUGCAUCACCGUAAAGAAAUAAAUGAAUUUUAUGCCAUUUAUUUUCAUUCAUUUCACUUAUUAGAGAUACGAGAUAUCGAGAAAUAAUUAUUAUAAAUCAUUUUAUUCGAUUUAUUAAGUUUUAAAACUGAUUCCCUCCUUUUCUAAAUUCGAUAUUUGUUCUAACUUUCAUUCGAAUCUCUUUUCGAUAAAAAGAGACGAUAGUUUCGAGAUAUAACGUGUCAUCGAUGAUGCUUUUUUCCGAUAUAAUAUGAUCCUAGACACUGAAUUAGUUUUAGAAAAUCUUACGUGUCUUCUUCGAACUCUUUUCUCGUAACAACUUCCAAGAACGGAUAAAACAAAUUCCACUUCUAAAAUACCGGCGUUACUUACUCUACACGACUAGAAUAUACAAUCCGCUAACGGUAUUCUGGCGGUCAUCGUUCCCUGAAGAUGGAUCUACGUUCUAAAACUGAAAAUGGUAUCCUACUUAGAAUUCGUAGAAUUGUCAAGUGUACACUAUGUAUACUUAUAUAUAAAAUUUAAUCGAUGCUGCAUAAAUCUAAAAUUAAAAACACGAUCGCUUCAAAUUUUGUACAUUAUCAAAAAAUUUUUAUUAACCUGAAUUUCGUUCAAAAUUUCAUUCACCUUCUAAAUUGUCGAUAUUUUCGAAAUUCAAAAGAAUAACACGAUUUUCUAUUGCUUAGGAAACCGAAAUAAAAAUCCUUGUAAUAAAUCCUUGUAAUAAUAAAUUUUUCACUUCGUGUCUACAAGUAUCAAAGUAACAAAGAGUAACAAUCUUUUAAUUGACAUUUUUAUCGACAAACAAUUAAGAUCCUAAUGCAUGCAAUUUACAAACUAUUUAUCGAUCUUCACGACUGUUCGAAAUCAAAUAAUCAAAUCUUCGAGAUUUUCGUGUUACGUACUUAAGCUUACCUCGAGUCGAGUUGGCGAAUUAAUAAUAGAUUGAUCGGAAACGGAGGAAAAUAUUACUUUCACGAACCGAGUUAAAACCGGAGUAAUUAAAGCGGCUUGUGUCAUUGUUUUGAUUAGAAACGUUCGUGCAUAUUAAUAUUUAGCGACGUGCCGGUUAUAAAUUCAACGCCCAAUCGAUAAAGUAAUUCCGGCUGCGAUUCAAUCGCAACUUUAAUUGAAAUCAGAUCGUCGUAAUUGGAUAAAUUAAACGUUGAUUAAUGCGUGUAUCGUGACUAACGAUCGCGAUUUGUGAAAUUUGCGUUACUUAAUAUCGGUAUAUAUAUUAUAACAGACUGUUCCAGACGAAAAUUGAUGAACUUUGAACCCGUGCUCGAAAUAUCUCAACAAAAAAAUAUUAUAUAUAUAUAUAUAUAUUAUUUCUUGAUACACGAAUUGAUUACCCCAAAAAAUCUCAAGAGAAAAAUCUAUUGAAAGGAUCAUGCAUAGAUUCAUCUCUUUUUAUCCAUCGAUCAUGAAGAGUCUUAUUAUUAACAAUUUGUUGAAUAAUAUAAUCUUCCUCAAGUUAUAUAACAUAGUAAAAGUAAUAACGUUUGCAACACUACUUUUCUUUAUUCUCGCGCGUGCAUAAAUUUCGCUGUAAUUGCGUAAAAACUUCGUACGAAUCCGUUUGUUUAUUCGAAAGGGGGUUGUUCAACGAGGCCAGCAUCGUUAUCCCAUAAUCGUUAUUUCUUAGGAAGGUGGAAAGAGAUCCAGAAAUAAAGAGUAAACGGUCCAUUAACGCGUGAGUAACAACAUUUCCCGUUCAUCGGAUUUUCACCUCUCCGCGAGCAGAUUGCGGCGGAAACGAGUGGCCGAGGCUUAAGGCUAUGGGCGCUUCUGUUUUCCAUCUGCCAGCUCUCCUUAAUCGCAGCCAGCCAUAACAGUAUCGUAAAUGGUGGAUACGUGUAGACGAAGGCUCGAUUUUGCCGCGAUCGGGAUUUUCGCCGAUCCCCUAAUUCCUCGUUCGAUUACACAGUCUGCGGCGUGUUAGCUUCGAAAGACAUCGAAUCGAGAUUAAAAACGGGUAGCAUGAAGGGUUAACGCUCGGCUCGAUUCGUGGAAAAACGCCGGACCAAGAUCUCAAUGUUAUAAUUUAAAUGAAUAUUGUAUAUGCUAUUGUAUAUUCGCGCAGUGGAAAACGAUCGAAGAAGUAUAAAUCGUAUAAUAUGUGCGCGAUAUUAAAUACGAAUAUUAUAACUAUAUAAUAUACACUUUUGAUUCUUACUUAUAUACUGGAUCGAGACCGAUAAAUUUUCCUACUUUUAUUAGCCGAUAAUAUCAACGAUUCUUCCCUUUCUUUUAAACACGCGCGAUUUCAUCCGCAAUAAUUUCAAUAGAUCCUACGAAUACCUAAAGAUGAAAAGAUUACCUAACCUCUUUCCUCUGACGAAAAAAAUCGACCAAUUGUCGCGAAGAUACCGAAAAAAAAAAAAAAAGAAAAGAAGAAAAGCCGGCAAACAGACGCGUCAGCGUGGCAGGCAUAAGCCGACACUUUAUUACAUUAAUUCAAUUUAAACUUCCGGAAAGUGCGUAGACAGAGCGUUGCAGGAACUUUAUACUACCCCGUCGUAUAAAGUUCUGGGGAAGCUUUUAUCGCGGAAAGGGAUUCCGAGAAGGAGAGGGAGGAAUGUGCUUCUUCUCACGUUUAUAUAUAUAUAUA
rnacentral:lncRNA from 1 species